ACGGCUCAGUAACACGUGGCUAAUCUGCCCUUGGGACCGGAACACCCCCGGGAAACUGGGGCUAAUUCUCGAUAGGUGAAGAACUCUGGAAUGAGUCUUUGCUUAAAAGACGCUUGCGUUAUGCUCGUAGGCGUCGCCCAAGGAUGAGGCCGCGACCGAUCAGGUUGUUGGUGAGGUAAUGGCUCACCAAGCCUUUUACCGGUGCGGGCCGUGAGAGCGGGAGCCCGGAGAUGGGCACUGAGACAAGGGCCCAGGCCCUACGGGGCGCAGCAGUCGCGAAAACUUUGCAAUACACGAAAGUGUGACAGGGCUAUCCCGAGUGCCAUCCGCUGAGGAAGGCUUUUACCCAGUCUAGAACGCUGGGGGAAUAAGGAGAGGGCAAGUCUGGUGUCAGCCGCCGCGGUAAUACCAGCUCUCCGAGUGGUGUGGAUGUUUAUUGGGCCUAAAGCAUCCGUAGCUGGCUGAGUUAGUCCCUUGUUAAAUCCACCGAAUUAAUCGUUGGAUUGCGGGGGAUACUGCUCGGCUAGGGGACGAGAGAGGCAGACGGUAUUUCCGGGGUAGGGGUGAAAUCCUAUAAUCCCGGGAAGACCACCAGUGGCGAAGGCUGUCUGCUAGAACGCGCCCGACGGUGAGGGAUGAAAGCUGGGGGAGCGAACCGGAUUAGAUACCCGGGUAGCCCCAGCUGUAAACGAUGCAGGCUAGGUGUUUGGACGGCCACGUGCCGUCCUAGUGCCGCAGGGAAGCUGUUAAGCCUGCCGCCUGGGGAGUACGGCCGCAAGGCUGAAACUUAAAGGAAUUGGCGGGGGAGCAC
rnacentral:rRNA from 1 species